GGGCCGGUGGCUCAGCCAGGUAGAGGGUGUACUGCCUACAGCACCCGGCUGAUAACCGGGGGGUCCCGGGUUCAAAUCCCGGCCGGCCCACCA
rnacentral:tRNA from 1 species